GGGCCGGUAGUUCAGUGGUAGAAUAUCCGACUUGCACUCGGAAGGUCGGGGGUUCAAAUCCCCCCCGGUCCA
rnacentral:tRNA from 1 species